UGUUUUUUUUGUGUAUUUAGAGUUUCUUUGUGAAUAUUUUUGCUUUGGGUACAAAAAAUUACAAACUUUCUGUUAGUGCCCGUAGUUUUCAAAUUUGAAUAGUUUAAAUUUUGAAUUAUUUGAAAUUAGUGUGAAUCACUAGUUUGUGAAUAACUUAACUUUAAAAAUCAGUAAAGGCAUGAAAGAAUUUGUUUGCACAUAAAAUUUCUUCGCGUUUCAAAUGCCAAAACACAUAAUUAACUACCCUAACUAUUACGGAGAUUCCCUUCUGGGUGUGAAACACAGAAGAAAGUGAUGAUAGUGAAGCCGAUCACAUCCCAGAUCUUUGGAUGUGAAACUUUUUCUUCGCAUGUGUCCCUCUGUGCCGUAACCAUGGAAAAUCUUCAUCAUUUAACGGGAUGCUCGGGUCAAUAUUCACUGUGAAUGGAGCAAUUUCAUCAAAUUUUUCAUAAUCUUCCGACUUGUCUGUCUUGUCAUCCACUCCCAUGAUGUUUCUCUUCCCAGAAAGAACUAUGUGUCACUUUGGCUCAUCGUACGAUGCAUUCGCUUCCUUAUCUUUUCUUUUUCUUGGCUUGGUAGACAUGUCCUUCACAUAGAAAACCUGUGCCACAUCAUUGGCUAGGACGAAUGGUUCGUCUGCAUACGCAAGAUUGUUGAGAUCCACUGUUGUCAUUCUGUACUGCGGGUCUUCCGUUACCCCGCCUCGUGUCAUAUUGACCCAUUUGCACCGAAACAAAGGGACCUUCAAACCACGUCGAUAGUCAAGUUCCCAUAUGUCCUGUAUAUAACCAUAAUAUAUUUCCUUUCUCGUCUUGGUUUCUGCAUCAAAGCGGACACCACUGUUUUGGUUGGUGCUCUUCUUAUCUUGGGCGAUCGUGUAAAAUGUAUUACCAUUUAUCUCAUACCCUUUGAAAGUCAUUAUAUUCGAAGAUGGUAACUGGGACAGCAAGUACAGGUCAUCUUCAAUAGAGGUGUCAUGCAUGGUACGUGUCUGCAACCAGCUGGCGAAACUCCUGGUUUGUUCACGUGUAAUCUAGUCAUCAGACCGCUCCGGGUGUUUGGAGCGUAGAAAAUUCUUGUGUUCAUCCAUAUACGGAGCCACCAAGGCGGAAUUCUGUAGAACUGUGUAGUGUGCUUCAGUGAGAGAAUGUCCGUCCAUACAUAUUAUUUGUUCCCCUCCUAGCGUGUCUUUUCCAUCCAGUCUGCCCUUAUGCCGCGAUUCAGGAACACCAGACGGCUUAAGGUCAGGAAUAAAGUCAAUCCAAAACUCAAUGACCUCCUCAUUUUGACGGACCUUGGAGAUGCUUCCUUCUGGCCUAGCACGGUUAUGAACAUAUUUCUUUAAGACUCCCAUGAACCUCUCAAAGGGGAACAUAUUGUGUAGAAAUACAGGACCCAAAACGUUAAUCUCUUCGCAUAGGUGAACUAGGACGUGUGUCAUGAUGUUGAAGAAGGAUGGUGGGAACACCAACUCGAAACUGACAAGACAUUGCACCAAAUCAUUCUCUAACCUUGGUAUGAUUUCGGGAUCGAUUACCUUCUGAGAGAUUGCAUUGAGAAAUGCACAUAGCUUCACAAUGGCUAAUCGAACAUUUUCCUGUAGAAGCCCCCUCAAUGCAACCAGAAGCAAUUGCGUCAUAAUCACGUGGCAGUCAUGAGACUUUAGGUUCUGGAACUUUUUCUCUGCCAUGUUUAUUAUUCCCUUUAUAUUCGACGAGAAGCCAGACGGUACCUUAAUACUGAGCAGGCAUUCAAAGAAGAUUUCCUUCUCUUCUUUGGUAAGAGCGUAGCUUGCAUGACCCUGAUGUAUGCCGUCUUUUCCGUGCAUACUUUGCUGGUCCUCUCGUGCCUCAGGUGUAUCUUUUGUCUUCCCAUACACACCCAAGAAGCCAAGCAGGGUCACACAAAGAUUCUUCGUCACGUGCAUCACGUUGAUUGCGGAGCGGACCUCUAGGUCUUUCCAAUAGGGCAGGUCCCAAAAUAUAUAUUUCUUCUUCCACAUGGGUGCGCGUCCGUCAGCGUCGUUCAGAACAGGUUGUCCACCAAGACCCUUUCCAAAGACCACCUUCAAAUCCUUGACCAUAUCAUGUACAUCAGCACCAGUAUGGUGGCGAGGCUUCGUCCGGUGAUCCGCCUCACCUUUGAAAUGCUUGCCUUUCUUUCUUACGGGAUGCCUGCUCGGAAGAAAUCGACGAUGUCCCAGGUACACAUUCUUCUUACAAUUAGCCAAAUAUAUACUAUCAGUAUCGUCCAAACAGUGCAUGCAUGCGCAGUAUCCCUUGUUUGUCUGUCCUGAAAGGUUACUAAGAGCAGGCCAAUCAUUGAUGGUCACGAACAGCAACGCCUUUAGGUCAAAUUCUUCCCCCAUGUGCUCAUCCCACGCACGUACACCUGUUCCAUUCCACAGUUGUAAGAGUUCUUCAACUAAUGGCCUUAGGUACACAUCAAUGCCGUUGCCGGGUUGUUAGGGCCUUGGAUGAGCACUGGUAUCAUAAUGAACUUCCGUUUCAUGCACAACCAAGGAGGAAGGUUAUACAAACAUAGAGUCACAGGCCAGGUGCUAUGGUUGCUGCUCUGCUCCCCAAAAGGAUUACUGCCAUCUGCGCUUAGACCAAACCAUACGCUCCUUGCGUCAUCUGCAAACUCCUUCCCGUACUUUCUUUUGAUUUUUCUCCACUGCGACCCGUCAGCGGGUACUCUCAACUUUCCGUCUUUCUUACGGUCUUCUCUGUGCCAUCGCAUCGCCUUGGCAUGCUCUUUGUUCUGGAACAAACGUUUCAACCGUGGUAUUAUAGAAGCAUACCACAUCACCUUGGCAGGAAUCUUCUUCCUGGGGCGCUCGCCCUCGACAUCACCAGGGUCAUCGCGGCUGAUCUUAUAGCACAAUGCACCACAUACCGGGCAAGCGUUCAAAUCCUCGUACUCACCGCGAUAGAGGAUGCAAUCAUUAGGGCAUGCAUGUAUCUUCUGCACCUCUAACCCUAGAGGGCAGACAACCUUCUUUGCUUCGUACGUACUCUCGGGCAAUUCAUUGUCCUUUGGAAGCAUAUCCUUUAUCAUUACCAGCAACUUUCCAAAUCCCUUGUCAGAUACACCAUUCUCUGCCUUCCAUUGCAGCAAUUCUAGUGUGGUGCCCAGCUUUUUCUUGUCACCUACGCAAUUCGGGUACAACAAUUUUUUGUGAUCCUCUAACAUGAGCUGCAACUUCUUCUUCUCCAAAUCACUUGCACAGUUUCUCUUUGCAUCGGCAAUGGCCCGACAUAGAUCAUCAAUGGGCUCAUCUGAUGCCUCUUCUUCAGCUUCUUCCCGCAUUGCCGGCUCAGCUUCUUCCCGCAUUACCGGCUCAGCUUCUUCCCCCAUUGUUGUAUCAUCGUAUUCAGGGAACCCAUGGCCAGGAUAGCUGUCGUCGUCCUCUUCUUCUUCAUUGUCUUCCAUCAUAACCCCUCUUUCUCCGUGCUUGGUCCAAACAUUAUAGUGGGGCAUGAAACCGGACUUAAACAGGUGGACGUGAAUGGUUCUUGACGUAGAGUAAUUGUGACCAUUCUUUCAGCCAGCACAUGGACAAGGCAUAAAACCAUCCGCCCGCUUGUUUGCCUCAGCCGCAAGCAGAAAAGUAUGCACGCCCUCAAUGAACUGGGGAGAGCAUCGGUCAUCGUACAUCCAUUGCUGGCUCAUCUUCAUUACACAACACCGAAUAGACCAAAUUAAUACAAGUUCAUACAACAGUUAAAUGCAACAAACAAAUAACUCUCUAGCUAAAGCAUUUAAAUGCAACAACAAAUGCGAUCAAGAUCGCAACUAAGGUAACAAUGGAUCCAACAGCAUAAUGAUACCAAGCCUCACUAUCGAUGGCAUAUUUUCUAAUCUUUCUAAUCUUCAAGCGCAUUUUCUCCAUCUUGAUCUUGUGAUCAUCGACGACAUCGGCAACAUGCAACUCCAAUUCCAUCUUCUCCCCCUCAAUUCUUUUCAAUUUUUCUUUCAAGUACUCGUUUUCUCUUUCAACUAAAUUUAACCUCUCGACAAUAGGGUCGGUUGGAAUUUCCGGUUCACAUACCUCCUAGAAAAAAUUUCUAUGUCAACUUGAUGGGCAUAAUUUGUCAUAAACACGAAAUGCAACUAGUUUUAAAAGAGAAUAUAUAUACCAUAUCUGAAUCAUAACAAGGACGAGGGCCGACGGGGACGGAUAUCAAAACCAUGGCACUAUAUGUACAACAAACAACGUACGGGUAAGAUAAUUAUAUGAGUAACUAUAUAUCCAAAUCACACAAACAUCAAUUUAUAUAUAAAAUUUCAUGAACAAGAGGCUCACCACAAGGUGGUGCCGGCGACGGGACGGUGCGGGCGAUCGAUGGUGGUUACGACGGAGAUUUAGAAGGCACUAAGUAAAUCACACCUACAUAUGCAAACUAAGUGUUAUUUUUGACCUCAAAUUGCAUAUAAAUCAAAUACUAGCACAUAUAUAUAUAUCCUCCCAAAUUACUAAACUCACAAAUUAAUCACUAUAUAAAGCAUUGCAAGCGCUAAUCUAGCAAUGAGAGAUGAAAGGACAAAGUUGCUAACCUUUGUGAUCAUUUGAAUGGAUGGGGGCCUUCAAAUCUUGACAAUUUUUGGGCAAAAUGUGUGAUGAGCUCGAGAGGAAGAGGGGAAGAACAGAGAGAGGAGAGGGGAAAGGGGAAGAACAGAGCGAGCUCGGGUGGACGAAGGGUUUAUGUAGGAUGACCUUUAGUACCGGUUCGUGCCAAGAACCGGUACUAAAGGGGCUGGAGGGGACCCAGUCUGACAACAUCCUGCCACCACUCUCAUUACUACCGGUUCGUGGCACUAACCGGUGCUAAAGGUUCGCCACGAACCGGUACUAAUGAAAGCGGCCCGGCUAGUCGUUGGAACCGGCACUAAUGUAUACAUUAGUGCCGGCUCAAAUACAAACCAGCACUAAUGUGCUUCACGUUUGACCCUUUUUCUACUAGUGACAAGUAGGGCUAAGAAAAGAUAAAUUUUCAGCACAUUCAUCUAGCUCUUCUUGCAACAAUUUGGUUUCUAAGUACUUAUGCCUCUUGCAAUAUCUAUCUUCCCUAUUUUGUGUGUACUUACAAACCCAAUGCACUCCACAAAAAUUGACAUGUUUAUAGGAGGCAUUUUCAUCAUAACUAGUGCAAUCAUCAUUAGUACUAUGGAUAUUCAAGGAGUUCAUACUAACAACAUUGCAAUCAUGCUCAUCAUUCAAAGUUUUAGUGCCAAACAUUUUAAUGCAUUCUUCUUCUAAUACUUUGGCACAAUUUUCCUUUCCAUCAUACUCACGAAAGAUAUUAAAAAGAUGAAGCGUAUGAGACAAACUCAAUUCCAUUUUUUUGUAGUUUUCUUUUAUAAACUAGACUAGUGCUAAAACAAGAAACAAAAAGAUUCGAUUGCAAGAUCUAAAGAUAUACCUUCACUUACCUAGCCUCCCCGGCAACGGCGCCAGAAACUGCUUGAUGUCUACUACGCAACCUUCUUCUUGUAGACGUUGUUGGGCCUCCAAGUGCAGAGGUUUGUAGGACAGUAGCAAAUUUCCCUCAAGUGGAUGACUUAAGGUUUAUCAAUCCGUGGGAGGCGUAGGUUCAAGAUGGUCUCUCUCAAACAACCCUACAACCAAAUAACAGAGAGUCUCGUGUGUCCCCAACACACCCAAUACAAUGGUAAAUUGUAUAGAUGCACUAGUUCGGCGAAGAGAUGGUGAUACAAGUGCAAUUAAUAUGGAUGGUAGAUAUAGGUUUUUGUAAUCUGAAAAUAUAAAAACAGCAAGAUAACAAGCGGUAAAGUGAACGUAAAUGGUAUUGCAAUGCUAGGAAACAAGGCCUAGGGUUCAUACUUUCACUAGUGCAAGUUCUCUCAACAAUAAUAACAUAAUUGGAUCAUAUAACUAUCCCUCAACAUGCAACAAAGAGUCACUCCAAAGUCACUAAUAGCGGAGAACAAACGAAGAGAUUAUGGUGGGUACGAAACCACCUCAAAGUUAUUCUUUCCAAUCAAUCUGUUGGGCUAUUCCUAUAAGUGUCACAAACAGCCCUAGAGUUCGUACUAGAAUAACACCUUAAGACACAAAUCAACCAAAACCCUAAUGUCACCUAGAUACUCCAAUGUCACCUCAAGUAUCCGUGGGUAUGAUUAUACGAUAUGCAUCACACAAUCUCAAUUCAUCUACUCAAACCAACACAUAGAACCUCAAAGAGCGCCCAAAGUUUCUACCAGAGAAUCACGACGAAAACGUGUGCCAACCCCUAUGCAUAGGUUCAUGGGCGCAACCCGCAAGUUGAUCACCAAAACAUACAUCAAGUGAAUCACGUGAUAUCCCAUUGUCACCACAGAUACGCACGACAAGACAUACAUCAAGUGUUCUCAAAUCUUUAAAGACUCAAUCCGAUAAGACUACUUCAAAGGGAAAACUCAAUCCACUACAAGAGAGAAGAGGGGGAGAAGAAAUAUAAGAUCCAACUAUAAUAGCAAAGCUCACGAUACAUCAAGAUUGUGCCAAAUCAAGAACAAGAGAGAGAGAGAGAGAGAGAGAGAGAGAGAUCAAACACAUAGCUACUGGUACAUACCCUCGGCCCUGAGGGUGAACUACUCCCUCCUCGUAAUGGAGAGCGAUGGGAUGAUGAAGAUGGCCACCGGUGAGGGUUCCCCCUCUGGCAGGGUGCCGGAACAGGGUCCCGAUUAGUUUUUGGUGGCUACAGAGGCUUGCGGCGGCGGAACUCCCGAUAUAUUCUCCGUUCUGGAAGUUUUAGGGUAUGUAGGUAUAUAUGGGUGCAGGAAGUACGUCGGUGGAGCUUCGAGGGGCCCACGAGGCAGGGGGCGCGCCCUAGGGGGGUGGGCGCGCCCCCCACCCUCGUGAGCACCUCCCUUUGCUCCUGACGUGGGGUCCAAGUCCAUCCGAUAGGUUUCCUUCCAAAAAUAACUUCUCCAGUUGAUUUCGUUCCGUUUCGACUCCGUUUGAUAUUCCUUUUCUUCGAAACACUGAAAUAGGCAAAAAAAUAGCAAAUCUGGGUUGGGCCUCCAGUUAAUAGGUUAGUCCCAAAAAUAAUAUAAAAGUGGAUAAUAAAGCCCAAUAUUGCCCAAAACAGUAGAUAAUAUAGCAUGGAGCAAUCAAAAAUUAUAGAUAUGUUGGAGACGUAGCACCCCUCCCCUCUCUUUUGGAUCCGACUCUCGUGGAGGACUUAAAAAGGAAAAGAAAACAGAAGGAGUUAGGACUUUGAGUCGUAUUGGACUGGAGCAAGGCCUAAUUUAAUGCACCAGUGGGCCGGGUGAAGGCCCAAUGAAGAGAUCAUGUGAGCUGGCUGGUGACACAGACCGAAUGCAAGGAAAUCAAGCAUGGCGUUUUCCUUUUUUAGCCUAUACUAGCAAAAGUGACCGUGCGUUGCAACGGGAGAAACAAAUUAUCACCCCUAGCGCCCCCAUCCAUGUUGCCUCUUCUUUUCUUUGUCAUCAUUGUGGGUCACGAUGUCCACCACACGCCGAACGUUCCACCUAAACUUGGAACAAAUAAAGAAUUGCAUUGCCUGCAUGGACAGAUAAGCGAACGGUCGUGUUUGAGACCCCGGUCAAAUUUACAUAAUCUAAUGCUUGCGCCUUGUGUUUGUGUGAUCCGGAUUUUACAUCGUGGUAGUUUAGUACCAGUCCGUGAAGGACACAAACAACCACCAAAUUCAACUUUAGUUGAAAACGAUCAACACCUUUUUUGCGGAUAACACGAUCAGCACCAAAACAGUGGAUGUUGCGAGUUUGAUUAGCAAAAAAAAAACUAUUUUUGCCUCAUCUCCUAAACGGGGUGGUGGGUUUGAUUUGUUGGGCUGGGUCGCACGGACAGGUUGGGAGGGCACUACUUUUUAUUGGUGGAAUGUUGCGCUGGUGAACGGGGUAGGGGCCAAGUGGCCCAGGACAAACGAUUGGGAAUAGCCUAGCUCAGUAUGAAGAAACGCCAUGGACAUAUGAAAUGGGAGGACCAAUAAUAUUAACCUCCAUUUAUGUAAAAAUAGUAUAUAUAUGCCCGUGAGUUAUAAUGCUAUAAACAAUUAACAUAAAUUUAAUGAGGACUGUAUGCCCAAACAUAAUGUUCAAUGUGUUACAAAUUUGGUGCAAGCUUAGUAAGGAUUACAAGUGCAAGAAAAAAAUGUCAGGUUGUCUGUUUCAAUGAAAGAAAAAAUGGCUUGAAUUAGUGAGGAUCAUGUAGGAAAAAGGAUGGCACUUUAUCUUUAUCCGUAAGAUAAGAUAUGAAUGAGGGCCCACGUCCUUCAAAAAAUCUGUAAUUACCGUAUGUUCACUUCCCCUCUCUUUCCUUUCUCUUUCCUUCUUUAUUUCUCAUGCAAUUAGUGUCUAUUUUAUUUCUUUUUAUUUUCUUAUAUCAUCCAUGUGACGAAUCCCAUUUGUCAGCCUAUUAAUUACUCCUGCGAUUAAUAUGGCGUCCACAAUAAUUACCGUCUAUUGCCUUCAUUUCUCUUUCCUUUCUCAUUCCUUCUUUAUUUCUCAUGAAAUGUCUAUAUGCCCGUGAGUUAUAAUGCUAUAAACAAUUGACAUAAAUUUAGUGAGGACUGUAUGCGCAAACAUAAUGUUCAAUGUGUUAUAAACUUGGUGCAAGCUUAGUAAGGAUUAUAAGUGCAAGGAAAAAAUGCCAGGUUGUUUAUUGCAAUGAAAGAAAAAAAAUGGCUUGAAUUAGUGAGGAUCAUGUAGGAAAAGAAUGGCACUUCAUUUUUAUUCAUAAGAUAAGAUAUGAAUGAGAGCCCACGUCCAUUAAAAAUCUGUAAUUAUCGUAUAUUUAUUUCCGCUCUCUUUUCUUUCUCCUUCCUUCUUUAUUUCUCAUGCAAUUAGUGUCUAUUUUAUUUCUUUUUCUUUCCUUAUAUCAUCCAUGUGACGAAUCCCAUUUGUCGGCCUAUUAAUUACUCCUGCGAUUAAUAUGGUGUCCACAAUAAUUACCGUCUAUUGCCUUCCUUUCUCUUUCUUUUCUCCUUCCUUCUUUAUUUCUCAUGCAAUGUCUAUAUGUCCGUGAGUUACAAUGGUAGAAACAAUUGACAUAAAUUUAGUGAGGACUGUAUGCGCAAACAUAAUGUUCAAUGUGUUAUGAACUUGGUGCAAGCUUAGUAAGGAUUAUAAGUGCAAGGAAAAAAUGACAGGUUGUCUGUUGCAACGAAAGAAAAAAAUGGCUUGAAUUAGUGAGGAUCAUGUAGGAAAAGAAUGUCACUUCAUCUUUAUUCGUAAGAUAAGAUAUGAAUGAGGGCCCACGCCCUUUAAAAAUUUGUAAUUAUCGUAUAUUUACUUCCCCUCUUUUUCCUUUCUCCUUCCUUCUUUAUUUCUCAUGCAAUUAGUGUCUAUUAUAUUUGUUUGCUUUUUUUUAUUUCUCAUAUGCAAUGUCUAUUUUCCUCCUCUCUCUCCUAUUGCUCUGCCCCUCAUUUGUUCCGUUAAGGACAAAUCUUAUUCAUGCCAUAUUCUUUGCUUAAUUUCUGAAGCAGCUCCUUGAUGCUUGACAACCUAAGAACGUAUAUAAACUGGUAAAAAAUUAUGUAAAAUAGCAAGGUGGGACUAUUUAUGAAAAACAGUCUCCAGCCUACUCUCCUUGUCCGUCCACUGGGCCGCAGCAGUCCGACUGGCCCAGCGCGCCCGUGCUCAUUGCCUCAGCCCGUCUACGCCUCAUCUUAUAUUCUUAAAAGGGUAGACGACAAUGUUAGUACACUCAUGGGCCUAGGCGGAUUGGUCUGCUAUGUUGUAGUACACCUGGUAGACCACGGAUCAAAUCCCAGCGCCCACCACUUUCUUCCCCUUUUUCAAUUUAAUUCAAAUACAAAUUCAAACUGAAAGCGUAAAAUCACGGGAAGAAGCGUAUUGUGACGGUGAACCCGACAAAGUCAAUCCAUGCUUUAUUAUUACUAGCACAUAUACCCGUGCGUUGCAACGGGAGAUAUAGUGACGUAUCCACCGAAAUAUCCAGCAACAUCUCCCAAGAAUAUCUCAAUGAUGCCACCCGGCAACGGCAGGAAGGCGCGCACCAAGGUCUAGUAAUACUUCAUAUCAAUUGUACGGGUGUGGCCAAUUCACGCGAAUUCAUGUGGGUGAGAUUAGUUAGUGUGGGCCCCACGGUUGAAUUAGGAGGGUGAUUAGUUAGUGUGGGCCCACCCUUGAAUUCACCGGGGAGAGAAAUUAAUUAGGAUGAGGAGAGAUUUACGUGGCUUCGUCCCCAGAUGUGUUGCGGAGCGUUGCAACGCUCGCAGGCGAGGAAGUCUUUUCCCAGUUGUACAUUAAGAAACAUGCUACAUAUACAAUGCUUUUGAUACGAUUUUUAUACGAUGAUUCUGAUCUUAAAAAGCCCCCUAAUUUUUAAAUCUUAAAGGCAUUAUUUGUAAGCUGUCAUGAAAAAGAAUCUCACUAAGCUUUAUAAAUAAUGAAUUAUAAUUCCUUCGCAUUUGAACAAACAAUCCCUAGUUCUUUACAAAAAAUCCUUUGCACCUAGCUCAAUAAACACAACUCAUGACCCUCCAAAGGUCUAUGUCCUUCAGUUGAAAUUAUACUUCUUCCCAUCCUCAUCAAUAGUGCCCACGGUGUCUCAUCCUCUGAAGGCAAUGCGUUCGAACAUGACCAAUUCGAACACGGUGAUCUCCGCCUCUACAUGACACACCUGCAAUUGAGAUACACCAGCGCAAGGUAGUGUUUAUACUUUGAAAACUAAUCCCGUCGAGUUGGCCAUGAGGGACACUCUCCGUGAGCUACACCCUACACGUACCACUUAGGAUGGUGAUAAUUUCCGAUGUCAUGAAGCCAUCGGCUCCUCCAUGAAAUAAGUUUUCAUCUUUUUGGAUUUCUUCUCAAGUCAAAAUGCUUUAGAAAAAAUGGUAGCAUUUUCUUUUUGCCAGAGUAACGCUAGACAGAAUGUCGAGACUAAACAGCCCAUUCAAGUGGUCGAGAAACGCUACACAGAAUUGUUGGUCGAGACUAACCCAUUCCCUUUAAUGUUGAUUCCUUCUUAAAUCAUGCAUGGCAGCCCUCAAUUCCCGUUUAACGCUGAUUCCUGCACCUUUCUCUGCCCUCCUCCUUCCUUUCCAUCCCGACUUCUCUUUUUGUAGACGCCGAUUUAUAAAUCGGCAGGUCUUUCCCUCCGUUUAAUUAGGCCAAUAUAUGUUGGGUCUCUCUCCCAUUAACUCCAUCUUUGAAAGAAUCCUUGAUUGGAGGCUGCUUAUUGUCUUGAGCUCACAAACAUAUUUAAACUGGUGGGAUUUUGUAAAGAAAAAUGAUAUGGGAUUAUCUUGUGAACAGUUCGUCAUGUUAGGAUUAGGAGUUUGAUCGGGCAAUUAUUUUUACCGUAUUUUUGGGCCACGUCGCAGAGGAUGGAUGGAUGGACUGAGGUCCAAGAAUUCUGCUAGACGGGCGUAGCCGAUUAACAUAAGAAAAUCCGGCUAAUGGUGAUAGAUAAUGAGCGCUAGCUCAGCUGGUACUUUAGGGGUCUUUCAUCCAAGACGUUUUGUGUUCGAUCCCCGUGAGGAUCGGCGGCUUUAUUUAUUUUUAGCUGCAGUAUAUGUGCUCGCCGAUCGUAUCCUUCGCAUGUGUCUUAAAUGGGCCAGGAUAGGUGGGCGACGCUGGUGGAGGUCUACGUACGGUAUGAAAAACGAAUCGGGACGGACGGACGGACGUGCUAUUAAUACCAUCUCGUUUAUAUUAUGAUUUUGUCUAUACAAAUCGUAAAAACGUAUUAUGACAUGAGAAGAAAGCGUAUUGUGACGGUGAAUCCGGAGACCCAAUCCGUGCUUUAUUAUUAGGGAGAGAUUAAGAUUAAAACGAGAUAAUAAAACGAAAUGUUUUUGGAUUCACUAAAGUAGGAUGGCGGUUUUAAUUCCUAAAAAGCACAUGGACCUUUGUGUAAAAAAGACGCGACGGUGAACCCGAUAAAAUCAAUAUGUGCUUUAUUAUUAUUAUUAUUAGGGAAAGAAAGAAGGAAUUUUACAUCCCUUGGAAAAAUUGACAGACGUUCAUUGAUUCGGAUCCAAUGGUUAAAUAUUGAAAGAUAACUGUUACACAGAACCUAAAUAGUGGGCCAGGAACUGAUUUUGAAAAUUGGUCCGGGGAUAUUAUGAUGAAAAAAAAUGUAUGUAAAGGUUGAAGUGCUAUCCAGUGAGGGAAAGCUGAUCACAAAGCUAAAAAAAUCAGAGUUUAGACCAGAUUAGCGAAAACAAAAUCAGAGUAACUAUAUGGAUAAUUGCUAAAUUAGCUCCCAAAUCAAAUCAAAAUGCAGCGGUAUGCUGUCCAACUAUGAGCUUUAGGUGCACUUAGCCAACACCAUUUCUCAUUUUUAUUUACUUCGCGUUUGGGGUUUUGUUAAAGUCAAAAUUUGUCAAGUUUGACCAAAAAUAGAGAAAAAAUAUAGCCAUUAAUUAAGGACUCUUGAUUGUUGAGUAAUGGUAGCAUGCAGUUUCACAAUUAUUUUAGUUUUAUAACAGCAGGAAAAUGAUGCUAAAAUUGAGGUAUUGGGUUCCUUGGAUCCUUGUCUGCUGGUCUGGUUUAUUUUAGUUUUAUAACACCGGCGUGCAUGCAAGGAAGGAAUGAGAAAGAAGUAGCUCAAUAUUAAACAAGUUGGUACUACCUCUUUUCCGGUUUAUAGAGCUCAAUUUAAAAAUCUCACCAAUCAAGGUAGAUGAUGAAUGGUAGAACAAUUUUUGUAGUUUGCAAAACCACUUAAUUAAUGCACUUGUUUUUCUAAAAAUUAUGUUUAUCAAUGCAUUAUUUGCAAUGCAUGCAUUAUAAAGUACAUGCAUUGGUCAUUUUUCUCUUAAUACUUGUAUGCAAUGAUUUAUUGCGCCUUGAAAUCUGAACAUGUGAUGAAAAACAAGAUAAUCCCUAUAAACCGAAAAGGAGAGAGUAGUACAAGAAAACAUCAUUAACCUUGUAUAGAUGCAAAAUGUAUUUUUCAUAAUGGCCUUGUAUAAAGGAAUGGAUUCUUGGUUUCCCACUCACCCAAGUUCAGUUCAAAUAAAAUGGCAUGAAUAGAUCAAACACAAGGAAAUAGAUAAUAUGAUCUGACAAACAUAGACAAAGUUCCACAUGUGGCACAUGCCUUCCUUCACUUAUUUUGCUUCUAGCUCCUUUCUUAGACGAAUUUUUCUAUGAUCUAGAAGAAUUUUUCUAGGACCCAGAUGACCUUCACUUCAACUUGUUCACCAUCAAAUUCUCUUUUUUGAGUCCUAAUUCUACGGGGUAACUCUAGACUUUCUUCACUCCUAAUUCUACGGCUGCAGUCUAGACAGAAUUUCAAAUUCUUGUCCUCUUCUUGGCUGUCACAGGUUGUGAUUACUCUUAGGUCCACCUCUAUGUGGAGUUUGUACUUGCUACGAUCAGGCAAUGCAAUCAUGUGUGGUCCCAGUGGAAGAAUGCACGUGGAACCACAGGGCAGGGACAAGCUACUGCCUCGUUCAAAACUGAAGAGAUUGACGCUUUUGCUCCCAUAGUCAAUGGCAAUUGCCUUGACGCUACCAUACACAGAGCGGCUUCUCGAACCGAAGUCUUUGAGGUUCAACCUGACCUCAACAUAGGUCUCAACUGCUUCCGGAAUCACCAAGUAUGUGAUCUCCAACUUGCGGCCAAGGCCUCCAUAGAUGGUUUGUGUGAAUUCCUCAACUUCAUCAGGCUCAGUAACAUCCCAGCCUCGGCGGAAAUGACCGCUCCAAGACCCCUCAUCAUCAGUAGAAGACCCCUCAUCGUCUUCUGUGAAAACCAGGUCUUCUGUGAAAACCUCCAAGCAAAAGGCACCGUAAGCCUGUAGUAUCCCACAUGGUCCAGCGAGUACCAAAUCCUUUCCUUCCU
rnacentral:lncRNA from 1 species